rnacentral:tRNA from 1 species
GAUUUAGUGGCUGAGUGACAGGCAAUAGAUUGUAAAUCUAUUUACGAAAAUUAUUUCUUAAAUCA